CCUACGGGCGGCAGCAGUGGGGGAUAUUGCACAAUGGGGGAAACCCUGAUGCAGCGACGCCGCGUGUGGGAAGACGGUCCUCUGGAUUGUAAACUACUGUCCCCAGGGACGAAGAUGACGGUACCUGGGGAGUAAGCCCCGGCUAACUACGUGCCAGCAGCCGCGGUAAUACGUGGGGAGCGAGCGUUGUCCGGAAUUACUGGGUGUAAGGGGAGCGUAGGCGGGACUGCAAGUUGGGUGUCAAAUCUCCCGGCGCAACCGGUAGCCGCACUCAAAACUGCAGUUCUUGAGUGAAGUAGAGGCAGGCGGAAUUCCUAGUGUAGCGGUGAAAUGCGUAGAUAUUAGGAGGAACACCAGUGGCGAAGGCGGCCUGCUGGGCUUUUACUGACGCUGAGGCUCGAAAGUGUGGGGAGCAAACAGGAUUAGAUACCCCAGUAGUC
rnacentral:rRNA from 1 species